rnacentral:lncRNA from 1 species
CUGAGUGAGUUGAUUAAAGCUCAAAAGUAUUUCAAAAGAUAUUUUAAAAUGGUUUGGAAAAUGACUUUGGAGUAAAGGAAAGGAAAUUAGAAAGUAUAAAAAAAAGAAAGAAAACCUCUCACCCCUCUGUUCUGGCCGUAGGCCCAACUCUUCCUCUCCCGUUUCUGGUCUUGGCCCAGCAGCGUUCCCCUCGCCUCGGUCCAGAGAACGGCCCAGUUGGCCAGCCGCGGCCGCCCCAUCUCUCUCCCUCCCCACCUCUUCUCUCACUGCCAGCCAGGCCCCGCAUGGCAGCCGCGUCGUCAUCUCCUUCCUCGAGUCCGAGCAGGACCCGAUUCCAUGCCGAACUCAAUCCCAGGAAAUCCGCGAUUUCCUUGCCAAAGUGCCAAACCGAGCACCCUCCAUGACCCCUAUUUCAAUCUUUCCAUCCCCGAGAGUCGCCCCGGAGCCGCAGUUGGAUCCCGCCGGGAAGCAGGGAAAGCCGCCUCCGUGAAAUCCUUCCUCGGCUGUCGCGUUUCCGAAUUCAAGGACUUGCCAAGCUUC